rnacentral:rRNA from 1 species
AUUGAACGCUGGCGGCAGGCCUAACACAUGCAAGUCGAGCGGCAGCGGGACCUUCGGGUCGCCGGCGAGCGGCGGACGGGUGAGUAAUGCCUAGGAAUCUGCCUGUUAGUGGGGGAUAACGCGGGGAAACUCGCGCUAAUACCGCAUACGUCCUACGGGAGAAAGUGGGGGACCCUCGGGCCUCACGCUAACAGAUGAGCCUAGGUCGGAUUAGCUAGUUGGUGGGGUAAAGGCCCACCAAGGCGACGAUCCGUAACUGGUCUGAGAGGAUGAUCAGUCACACUGGAACUGAGACACGGUCCAGACUCCUACGGGAGGCAGCAGUGGGGAAUAUUGGACAAUGGGCGAAAGCCUGAUCCAGCCAUGCCGCGUGUGUGAAGAAGGUCUUCGGAUUGUAAAGCACUUUAAGUUGGGAGGAAGGGCGCUCGGUGAAUACCCAGGCGUCUUGACGUUACCGACAGAAUAAGCACCGGCUAACUUCGUGCCAGCCGCCGCCGUAA